rnacentral:rRNA from 1 species
UGGGGAAUUUUGCACAAUGGGGGAAACCCUGAUGCAGCGACGCCGCGUGAUUUAGAAGGCCUUCGGGUUGUAAAAAUCUUUUCUAUGGGAAGAAAAUGACAGUACCAUAGGAAUAAGGACCGGCUAAUUACGUGCCAGCAGCCGCGGUAAUACGUAAGGUCCGAGCGUUGUCCGGAAUCAUUGGGCGUAAAGGGUACGUAGGCGGGUAAGCAAGUUAGAAGUGAAAUCCUAUAGCUCAACUAUAGUAAGCUUUUAAAACUGCUCAUCUUGAGGUAUGGAAGGGAAAGUGGAAUUCCUAGUGUAGCGGUGAAAUGCGCAGAUAUUAGGAGGAAUACCGGUGGCGAAGGCGACUUUCUGGCCAUAACCUGACGCUGAGGUACGAAAGCGUGGGUAGCAAACA